rnacentral:rRNA from 1 species
CCCGACUGCUAUCAGAGUGGGACUAAGCCAUGCGAGUCAACGUAGCAAUGCGUGGCGAACGGCUCAGUAACACGUAGUCAACAUGCCCAGGGGACGUGGAUAACCUCGGGAAACUGAGAUUAAACCGCGAUAGGUCAAGAUUUCUGGAAUGGAUCCUGGCUUAAAUCUACAUGGCCCCUGGAUUGGACUGCGGCCGAUCAGGCUGUUGGUGAGGUAAUGGCCCACCAAACCUAUAACCGGUACGGGCUCUGAGAGGAGAAGCCCGGAGAUGGGCACUGAGACAAGGGCCCAGGCCCUAUGGGGCGCAGCAGGCGCGAAACCUCUGCAAUAGGCGAAAGCCUGACAGGGUUACUCUGAGUGAUUUCCGCUAAGGGGAUCUUUUGGCACCUCUAAAAAUGGUGCAGAAUAAGGGGUGGGCAAGUCUGGUGU